rnacentral:lncRNA from 1 species
UCCUCAUUAUUUUCUCUGGUUAAUCUUACUAUUUGUUCAAAAGGUGAUUCUAUAGUGUUAUCUUAUUUUUGCAUAAGUCUAUAAUUAUCAUUUAGCUUAAUAAAUAUUCUAUUCAAAUUUGACAUUUCUUUUAUUUUGUUAUUUUCCUUUGUUCAAAAGGUGAUUCUAUAGUGUUAUCUUAUUUUUGCAUAAGUCUAUAAUUAUCAUUUAGCUUAAUAAAUAUUCUAUUCAAACUUGACAUUUCUUUUAUCUUGUUAUUUUCCAUAUAUGUAAUUUUUACAUAUUCUCCUUUUUUCAUAACUCUUCUUUUAUUUUUUCAGUAGUUAUUGGUACUUUAAUUGGCAUCCAUCCUAAUCCUGGUAUAUUGACAUAGCCAGUUUUAUUUAUAGGUUC